rnacentral:rRNA from 1 species
CGCCAGACUCCUACGGGAGGCAGCAGUGGGGAAUAUUGCACAAUGGGGGAAACCCUGAUGCAGCGACGCCGCGUGAGUGAAGAAGUAUUUCGGUAUGUAAAGCUCUAUCAGCAGGGAAGAAGUUGACGGUACCUGAGUAAGAAGCCCCGGCUAACUACGUGCCAGCAGCCGCGGUAAUACGUAGGGGGCAAGCGUUAUCCGGAUUUACUGGGUGUAAAGGGAGCGUAGACGGCAGUGCAAGUCUGAAGUGAAAGCCCCGGGCUUAACCCGGGAACUGCUUUGGAAACUGUACGGCUGGAGUGCUGGAGGGGUAAGCGGAAUUCCUAGUGUAGCGGUGAAAUGCGUAGAUAUUAGGAGGAACACCAGUGGCGAAGGCGGCUUACUGGACAGUAACUGACGUUGAGGCUCGAAAGCGUGGGGAGCAAACAGGAUUAGAUACCCCUGUACUC